UGCUGCCGACGCUGACAGGUGGGGGGGGGAAAAAAACAAACCGCGCGGGAAAAGUUGGAGGAGAGCAGCUGUGCGACCCCCCAGCUCGUUGGUGUGGGGUGGCUUUUCCUGCCCACCUCGGCGGCCGCAGCUUCCCUGCUGCGCGGAGGAAACGGAGGAAGGGGAAGCAGUUACCGCUGCAACUUUAAAUACAUUGUAGACGCCGAAGGUGCUAAAAUGAGACGUGGUUUUUUUCAGUGCGGCCACUGGAGGGAAUCUCGGUUUCGCCACAGAUCCUGACGUACAAGUUUGCAAAGUCUAAGUUCUUUACAAGGGAGCAGAAGGGAGGAGAAGGAAGAUGCUUCAUGUGAGCGCAGUCUGUGAGGACAGGGUCCCAGGGUACAAAACAGGAGAUUGCAUCCACAGGGAGAAGUUGGUGUUUUCCGAGCAGGAACUGUAGGCCUUGGUCUUCCCUUGGUUUAGACUGAGAGCAACAAGGGGUGUGUGCUAGAAAUAGGUUGGAAUUUGGGGGUUAGAUACAGCUCUGUUGGAUACACAGAAAAAAAACCCUGUUACCAGGCUUCAAGAGGACAGAACUGUGAGGAAAAGGUAUGCACUUGAUGAUCAUGUCUGUUUGGCUUUUGC